rnacentral:rRNA from 1 species
AGUGAACGCUGGCGGCAGGCCUAACACAUGCAAGUCGAACGGCAGCACAAGAGAGCUUGCUCUCUGGGUGGCGAGUGGCGGACGGGUGAGGAAUGCAUCGGAAUCUGCCCAUUUGUGGGGGAUAACCUCGGGAAACCGGGACUAAUACCGCAUACGACCUACGGGUGAAAGCAGGGGAUCUUCGGACCUUGCGCCGAUGGAUGAGCCGAUGCCGGAUUAGCUAGUUGGAGGGGUAAAGGCCCACCAAGUCGACGAUCCGUAGCUGGUCUGAGAGGAUGAUCAGCCACACUGGGACUGAGACACGGCCCAGACUCCUACGGGAGGCAGCAGUGGGGAAUAUUGGACAAUGGGCGCAAGCCUGAUCCAGCCAUGCCGCGUGUGUGAAGAAGGCCUUCGGGUUGUAAAGCACUUUUGUUGGGAAAGAAAAGCAGCCGGUUAAUACCCGGUUGUCAUGACGGUACCCAAAGAAUAAGCACCGGCUAACUUCGUG